UUGGAAACACCGGUUCCGGUACUAUCACCAAAGUUAAGCAAUUUCAAGCCUGGUCAGUACCUAAAUGGGUGACCGCAUGGAAAUACCAGGAGCUGCA